rnacentral:lncRNA from 1 species
AAAAUUAAGAAUCUACAUACACAGUUAGAUUCUGUAUAUCAAAGAACCCCAAUUAUUCAAUUUUUGAUGAAAUCAAACAAAGUUUAAUUUUGGACCCUUUGGGCCCUUAUUCCUAAACUGUUGGGACAAAACUCCCAAAAUCAUACCAACCUUCCUUUUGUGGUCAUAAACAUUGUGUUUAAAUUUCAUUGAUUUCUAUUUACUUAAACUAAAGUUAUUGUGCAAAAACCAAGAAUAAUGCUUAUUUGGGCCCUUUUUUGGCCCCUAAUUCCUAAACUGUUGGAACCAAAACUCCCAAAAUCAAUCCCAACCUUUCUUUUGUGGUCAUAAACCUUGUGUCAAAAUUUCAUAGAUUUCUAUUAACUUCAACUAAAGUUAUAGUGCGAAAACCAAGAAAUGCUUAUUUGGGCCCUUUUUGGCCCCUAAUUCCUAAAAUGUUGGGACCAAAACUCCCAAAAUCAAUCCCAACCUUCCUUUUGUGGUCAUAAACCUUGUGUUAAAAUUUCAUAGAUUUCUAUUCACUUUUACUAAAGUUACAGUGCGAAAACUAAAAGUAUUCGGACGACGACGACGACGACGCCAACGUGAUAGCAAUAUACGACGAAAAAUUUUUCAAAUUUUGCGGUCGUAUAAAAAGCAUACACCUUAUCGCUAAUCCCGGCUGACCCGGCCGCUUGAACUUUUGAUGCAUACAACAAUCACUUUUCCAUUGUGGCGUCAGAUGAUUCGUUUUAUGACGUCAAAAUUUUACGGAAACCUGUGUGAUAUCCAGAAAUAGCGACAAGGUGUAUUCAUUCCCUCCUUAAUUGAACCAAUGAAUUAUUUUCAGAAGUUUUAAAAAAAAAUAUUUCAACCCACUUAUUUAUAUCAGAAACAGAAUACAGAAAACAUAUAGCACUUACAAUAGGAUGGUGCUGAUGUGGCAUAUAGCACUUACAAUAGGAGGGUGCUGAUGUGGCAUAUAGCACUUACAAUAGGAGGGUGCUGAUGUGGCAUAUAGCACUUACAAUAGGAGGGUGCUGAUGUGGCAUAUAGCACUUACAAUAGGAGGGUGCUGAUGGGCUAUAGCACUUUACAAUAGGAGGGUGCUGAUGUGGCAUAUAGCACUUACAAUAGGGGGGGUGCUGAUGUGGCAUAUAGCACUUACAAUAGGAGGGUGCUGAUGUGGCAUAUAGCACUUACAAUAGGAGGGUGCUGAUGUGGCAUAAAGUAAUCAUCAGUCAAUCAAUUAUGAAAAUAGGAGAACAGAUAAUUCUAUCACUAUUUGCUUUUUUUUCUGAAAUGGAUAAUACAUGUAAUUUAAAACACUAUAAAUCAGCCUAAAAAACACCUCAUCAUUCUGCCUCUGAAAAAGGUCCAUCAAGGACCAGGAACCAAUCAGGCAUAAUUAUUU